rnacentral:rRNA from 1 species
GAACGUACCCCAAACUGAGGGAUAAGCACCAGAAAUGGUGUCUAAUACCGCAUGUGAUCUCCGGAUUAAAGCUUCGGCGGUUUGGGAACGGCCUGCGUACGAUUAGAUAGUUGGUGAGGUAAUGGCUCACCAAGUCGACGAUCGUUAGCUGGUCUGAGAGGAUGAUCAGCCAGACUGGGACUGAGAACGGCCCAGACUCCUACGGGAGGCAGCAGUAGGGAAUUUUCCACAAUGGGGGCAACCCUGAUGGAGCAACGCCGCGUGCAGGAUGAAUGCCUUCGGGUUGUAAACUGCUUUUAUAUGUGACGAAUAUGACGGUAGCAUAUGAAUAAGGAUCGGCUAACUCCGUGCCAGCAGCCGCGAUCAUACGGAGGAUCCAAGCGUUAUCCGAAAUUACUGGGCGUAAAGAGUUGCGUAGGUGGCAGAGUAUGUCAGUAGUGAAAGCGUGUGGCUCAACCAUAUAUACAUUACUGAAACUGCUCAGCUAGAGGACGAGAGAGGUUAUUGGAAUUCCUAGUGUAGGAGUGAAAUCCGUANAUAUNAGGAGGAACACCGAUGGCGUAGGCAGAUAACUGGCUCGUUCCUGACACUAAGGCACGAAAGCGUGGGUAGCA